rnacentral:rRNA from 1 species
UCCUGGCUUAGGACGAACGCUGGCGGCGUGCCUAACACAUGCAAGUCGAGCGAGGAACUCGGUUCCUAGCGGCGGACGGGUGAGUAACACGUGGGUAACCUGCCUCAUAGAGGGGGAUAGCCUCCCGAAAGGGAGAUUAAUACCGCAUAUACUCUCGAUAUCACAUGAUAUUUAGAGGAAAGGAGCAAUCCGCUAUGAGAUGGACCCGCGGCGCAUUAGCUAGUUGGUGAGGUAACGGCUCACCAAGGCGACGAUGCGUAGCCGACCUGAGAGGGUGAUCGGCCACAUUGGAACUGAGACACGGUCCAGACUCCUACGGGAGGCAGCAGUGGGGAAUAUUGCACAAUGGGCGAAAGCCUGAUGCAGCAACGCCGCGUGAGUGAUGAAGGCCUUCGGGUUGUAAAGCUCUGUCUUUUGGGACGAUAAUGACGGUACCAAAGGAGGAAGCCACGGCUAACUACGUGCCAGCCGCCGC